CAUUGUCGAAACUCUAAUCAUGUCUCUUUCCUCCGGGGAAAAUUUAAAAUUUCUAAAUACAGAUUGUCUCAAAAAAAUUCUUUUCUUAUGAGGAACUCCAGUUAAUCCAAUGAGAGAAGAGAAAAAAAAUACAAACCGAUCAUCAUCUCAAAAAA